GAUGAACGCUGGCGGCGUGCCUAAUACAUGCAAGUAGAACGCUGAAGGAAGGAGCUUGCUCUUUCCGGAUGAGUUGCGAACGGGUGAGUAACGCGUAGGUAACCUGCCUGGUAGCGGGGGAUAACUAUUGGAAACGAUAGCUAAUACCGCAUAACAGUAGAUGUUGCAUGAUAUCUACUUAAAAGGUGCAAUUGCACCACUACCAGAUGGACCUGCGUUGUAUUAGCUAGUUGGUGAGGUAACGGCUCACCAAGGCGACGAUACAUAGCCGACCUGAGAGGGUGAUCGGCCACACUGGGACUGAGACACGGCCCAGACUCCUACGGGAGGCAGCAGUAGGGAAUCUUCGGCAAUGGACGGAAGUCUGGCCGAGCAACGCCGCGGGAGUGAAGAAGGUUUUCGGAUCGUAAAGCUCUGUUGUAAGAGAAGAACGAGUGUGAGAGUGGAAAGUUCACACUGUGACGGUAUCUUACCAGAAAGGGACGGCUAACUACGUG
rnacentral:rRNA from 1 species